rnacentral:lncRNA from 1 species
CCCAUGCUGACAUUGAGAAAGCAGAAGCUUAUGAGAAGCAGUUAAAACCACUACCUGGUUUGAAAGCAAUAGACGUCGACAGUUUGGAGAAAACUUCUAGUGCCAAGCAAGCCGAGAAAGGUCCAAAUGCUGGUGCCACUGAAACAUACGAAGGGAAGAGUAAGGAUAAGGCGAAGAAAAAGAGGAAGAGAAAGCCAAAAUAUCCAAAGGGCUUUGACCCGGCUAAUCCAGGACCUCCACCUAAUCCAGAGAGGUGGCUUCCCAAGAGGGAGAGGUCUAGUUACAGACCAAAGAGAAAGGAUAAGAGAGCAGCUCAAAUUAGAGGUUCUCAAGGUGCAGUGGCUAAAGAGGCAGCGAGCAGUUGUGAUACGAAGUCAAACCAGCCAGCUAAUCUAAAAGGAGCCUCUCAGAAUGCAGUGCAAUCAAAGGCUUCAUCCAAAUCAAGGAAGUAAUCCAACAACAGAUAACUGAUGUUUCUUUGUUAUUGUUUCCCUGGAUUCAUUUAGCAUUUCUGUUGUACAACAUGAGUUAGUCUCGGAGAUGUCCAUUUAUAUAUUGUUAACUUUUUCAUACAUAAGGUUGUAGGGAAGGCAUCUAAAGUUAACCUACCUUGAUCACUUUUGGAAAGGCCUCAUUUACUGAGUUCUCUUAGGUCUAAAGUCUAAAUUAUUAGGAUUGUGUUAUCAAUCUUUUUUUAAA